rnacentral:rRNA from 1 species
CCUACGGUCGGCAGCAGUGGGGAAUAUUGCACAAUGGGGGAAACCCUGAUGCAGCGACGCCGCGUGAGCGAAGAAGUAUUUCGGUAUGUAAAGCUCUAUCAGCAGGAACGAGACAAGACGGUACCUGACUAAGAAGCCCCGGCUAACUACGUGCCAGCAGCCGCGGUAAUACGUAGGGGGCAAGCGUUAUCCGGAAUCACUGGGUGUAAAGGGAGCGUAGACGGCUGAGCAAGCCUGAAGUGAAAGGCGGGGGCCCAACCCCCGGACUGCUUUGGGAACUGUACGGCUGGAGUGCAGGAGAGGUAAGUGGAAUUCCUAGUGUAGCGGUGAAAUGCGUAGAUAUUAGGAGGAACACCAGUGGCGAAGGCGGCUUACUGGACUGUAACUGACGUUGAGGCUCGAAAGCGUGGGGAGCAAACAGGAUUAGAUACCCUAGUAGUC